rnacentral:lncRNA from 1 species
CUUCCCCCACCUCCACCCCACCCCCAGCCCCAGGCAUUAGGCUCGGUUUCUCGGGAUCCUGGGCGUUUGCUCAGACCCCGCACAGACUCGCUCACAUUACUUUUUUAAAACAAAAGCAAUUAGAUUUCAAUCCUGGUUCAUUUGCAUUUGCACCUCGGAAACUGGAGAAGGAGGUUGCGGGAGCGAAGGAGAGGGGAGCCCGGCGGCGGCGGGUGACACCUUCCGAGCGCCACAGCUGGCCCGGACUGCCAUUGCGCCGGCCACAUCUGGCCCGGCCGCGCGGCCGCCGCGGCCCCCUCCCCGCCCGCUCCCGGGCCCGCGCGCCGCAGCCCGCUCGGCGGCGCGCUCAUCGAUCGCCGGGGCCGCAGCCGGGCGAGCGGAGAACAAGUGAUUCAUUCAACAUGGCAGUUCCCAUACUCAUCGCACAAGGCGUGGACGACACAAAGAGAUGGCUUGCCUGCAAGAGACCCAGCUGGUCCAGAGUCGGAGGCACAUUUCAUUUCUCUGGCCAGCUGGAGAGGCGGCCGGAGCAGACGAGGAGAUCGCCUCUAAUGUUCUAAAUGUCAAUAUGGUCCCUACUGGCUGACUCGCCAAGAUUUGAUCAGCAAAUUGGCCUGCGUGAUGUGUUCCCUGCAAUGCACGGUGUGUGUUUAAAUCUUUCAACAGUGUCAUGAAAGAAGCUGAAGAACAGUAAACAAUUCUCAGUGGAA